CGUAGGGUGCGAGCGUUAAUCGGAAUUACUGGGCGUAAAGCGUGCGCAGGCGGUUUUGUAAGACAGAUGUGAAAUCCCCGGGCUCAACCUGGGACCUGCAUUUGUGACUGCAAGGCUAGAGUACGGUAGAGGGGGAUGGAAUUCCGCGUGUAGCAGUGAAAUGCGUAGAUAUGCGGAGGAACACCGAUGGCGAAGGCAAUCCCCUGGACCUGUACUGACGCUCAUGCACGAAAGCGUGGGGAGCAAACAGGAUUAGAUACCCUGGUAGUCCACGCCCUAAACGAUGUCAACUGGUUGUUGGGUCUUUACUGACUCAGUAACGAAGCUAACGCGUGAAGUUGACCGCCUGGGGAGUACGGUCGCAAGGUUG
rnacentral:rRNA from 1 species